UUGCUGCGAAGAUAAUAAACAAUUAAAUAGUUUUUUUUCUGCAUGCGUCUUAUAGAGUUGUGGCGAUCUGGCACUACUCUUAUGUUCCUAAUCGAUAUACAUACAUAUUCGAUAAUAUAUAAUCACAGAAUUUCUCAUCAAUAGAUAAUUAGAAUUGUCAUCUUUACUUUUCAAGCUUUUGCACUGUCAGACACAUGUCAUAAUUAAUUAGCAUUAUAUAUUAUAAAGUGAAUCAAGAUAAUUGGAGAUAGAAAUGUGCUAUAAUUCAAUAUGGCAAAUCCUUUUUCUAGAUGCCCAAAGCUAAUUCAAAUUGAUUCUUGGACGAUUUGCAAGCAUUAUCGAUCACUCCCACGUCGAUCCCCAAAGCAGUGCUAAUCAAUUGAUUAGCACAACAUGCCCUCCAAACAGCGCACCUUAAUCCCUUGGCACAAGGUAGAAGAACUUGAGCCGGUUUCCGAAACGGGGUCCCGAACUGACUGGAAGUCGAACUCGAACUCGAAAGCCAGGUAGUUGGUAAACAGGUAGUGCAAGUUUUGUAAAUUUCUCUCAUUUUGAUUUUGAUUUUGAUUUUUAGUCAUUUUUGUUUCAUUUGGCUUUUGCCUUUGACUUUUCCACGAUUACCAACAACAGCCAAACAAACGAACAAAGCUUCUAGCUGGUCUACUUGGAUUUUCACUCAAAAUGAUAUGCUAAUCCCGGCAAGCAGCGAUGGGAAGGAUUAUCCGCUUCCCAAAGGUAUCCUGAGGUCAGCUACCCGCUUAAGAAACAAUUUGCACCCAACUGAGCAGAUUAAAUAAGUGCGCCAUGAUCUCUUUGGUGGUCUCGGAUUAAACCGCACCCAGCCAGGUUGGUGAAGUUGCUCAGACUGUGACCGGGCAGCAGCCAUGGAUGGGUGGAUGCGGGGGCCAUAAAUACAUAACCCACGUUUUACGAUCGCUUAGCAGGAAAAGUCAAAGGCUUAAAGGAUCUGCGGUAAUCCGCAAGCAAGGUUGUGCAUCUCUAGCCGUCACCCCUCUUCGAUGACUAUCAGCAGAGGCAGCAGCUACCAUGACAACAGCAUCCCAGGUGACACUGAUUACGUUAGCCCAGCUAAGAAGUAGAAUGGAAGAAUGGAAACGCCAUAUUACAAUAACGUCUUAAUUUGUCGUGGUCUCUUGCUUUUGCGGUUAUGGGCAAAGGACACAAGUGCGCAACGAUGCAACAGAAACCGCGAACAAGUGAUUAGAAAACAGUUGGUCUAGAGCUCUUGCGCUGCCUCAUUAAUUUACAGCCAUAUGCCUGCUCAUGCUGCUGCUGCUGCGAGUGCCGAAAACAAGAAGUUUUCUAACACAUUCCUGGAAAUCACUUGACAAAAAUAUCAAAAAAAAAAAAAAAAAAGAGGAGGAGAAGACGAAGGGCUCGCUCGUGCACUUGAUCGCCUGGACCACUGGACCAAAUAGAUCACGAGAUGUUGGACAUUGGACAGAGAGAGUGGGUAAGUCAGAGAGAGUGGGAGAGAGAGAACAGAACGAAAUGCCGACGCCACUGCAUAGAGAAUUGGGUGUCGAAAUGAUAAUCAGCUAGGCGCCCCGCAGUGGGCGGCUUCUCUCAUCUGGCACCGCACGCCCCGCUGUGCCGUUGCCGCUGUUUGGGCCGCAUCGAAACGGUGGCAGUGGCCGUGGCAGAGAGCCUCUCUGCUGCUGCUGCUGCCGCAGGCUAUGUGAAAAUUGUAAAUUGAAAUCGUUUUUCCUUUUCGGUCUUCUGUUCUUUUUUGCGAAAUGCUGCUGCAAGUGGACGACGGACGACGGACGACAAAUCAAAAAGGUAGCACGAAGACAAUGGCAUUAAUUGCUCGACCUACAAAUUGCGACGGUUUUUGUUCAUUUUUUUGUGUCUUCUUAUUUGUUCUCCCCGACGUUAGAACCUGCCGCACACAGGUUCCGUUUCACUCGGCCCUUUGUCGGCCCAGUUGUCCCCAAAGGCAGCAUUAACCAAGUAAUAUUAGUGGACUGUUUGCCGCAACUGUCAAAUCGCUUAAUUCUUAUUACCCAUGCAGCAUCAUGCAAUUGCGAUAUAGAUAUUACGUUCCUAGCAGAAUACAGAAAGUACAUAUUUAUUGAAAAUUUUAAUAUUCACUCAUUAUAUAAUAUAAACCCAACUUCAAUAA